UGAUUUGGUAGUAUUUUGAAUAACUUAAAAAAAAUCUCAGUGCCUUGAUUUGGGAGAAUGAAGUGGCUUGCUGAAAUUUCUUUUAAGUGGCUGACAAUAGUCAUUAGAAAGACAUCUAGUGAAUUUGUCUUUAGAUGAGCUUCUUAACGCAGGGAGGUUUUGUGGGGCAAAGUGGUGUGAGGUCAUUCCCUAAUUAUCUUAAUUUAGUUGGUUUUGGUCCACUGUGUUUCAGGUUCAGAAGCAUUUAUUUGUUCUGCUGUGAGUCAUAGUGCUUCAUUAUGACAUUUGCACUGACAGUUAUGGGAGAGAUGUGCUGAAAGGCGCUAGGCUACAUCAACAUUUUCAAACUCCCACAUGCUUCUUCCCAUUUUUAUUAGGAUCUCCUCAAAGUUGGUUACACACCCUCUUUCAAAUUAUUCUUUGUAACUCAGGUCUAUCACGUUGCCUGUACAACACUCACGAGUCACUGUGCAGCCAUGGAUUUUGCUGCCUGCUUCAAGCUUUGCAAUGCCUGUGUCCAGCACUAUGCACAAUGAGACCUAAUCCCCAGCUGGGGACCAUCUCUAGCAGUGCAGUACAAAUGAAAUAAAUUUCAACAUUUUUUGUUUUA